rnacentral:rRNA from 1 species
GACGAACGCUGGCGGCGUGCCUAAUACAUGCAAGUCGAACGCAGUGGGGACGGGUGAGUAACACGUGGGUAACCUCCCAUCAGAGGGGAUAAAACUUGGAAACAGGUGCUAAACCGAUACUGAUGGAUGGACCCGCGGUGCAUUAGCUAGUUGGUGAGGUAACGGCUCACCAAGGCCACGAUGCAGAGCCGGACUGUGAUGGGUGUUCGCCAAACUGGGACUUGGGACAGGCCCAGACUCCUACCGGAUGCAGCAGUAGGUAAUCUUCUGCAAUGGACGAAAGUCUGACCCAGCAACGCCGCGUGAGUGAAGAAGGUUUUCUGAUCGUAAAGCUCUGUUGUUAAGGAAGCGGUAACUAACCAGAAAGGGACGGCUAACUACGUGCCAGCAGCCGCGGUAAUGC